CCAGAAAAGCACUAUCUUCCUGGGAUACCACACAUGCUACCCUGUGGCUUAUGGGCAGUGGCUCCUCGAGGGCUCCCUGUGCAGCCCAGACAGAGGCCUUCGCCUCUCUUCCCUACCCUCCCAGCCUUGCCUGCCUCAAACAUGCUCAGAGAAAGCAGCCUACAGUUCUUCAAAAUCACCUCAUAGGAAGCCUGCUAUACAACAAGGUAUGGAAUAACCUAUGUCAUUAAUUGAACACAAUACUGAAAGUGCAAAAUUUGGAUUUUGCAUGGGUACUCACCAUUAAUGCAUGGUUAGUGUAGGAGGUGUGAUCAAAAGAUAUAGUAAAUAAUUC
rnacentral:lncRNA from 1 species